UUCUCAGUUCAGAUUGCAGGCUGCAACCCGCCUGCAUGAAGUCGGAAUUGCUAGUAAUCGCGGAUCAGCAUGCCGCGGUGAAUACGUUCCCGGGCCUUGUACACACCGCCCGUCACACCAUGGGAGCCGGUAAUACCCGAAGUCAGUAGUCCAACCUCGUGAGGACGCUGCCGAAGGUAGGAUUGGCGACUGGGGUGAAGUCGUAACAAGGUACC
rnacentral:rRNA from 1 species